ensembl:lncRNA
GGCAGCUGGUGCCUCUGUGGAGCCAUUUCACAGCCAGACUGGCGCGUAUCCAAAAGUGGAUGUCGAACAGACGAAAUUGGGAAAGAAGGUUGCAUGAUGACAAGUCUGUGGAUUUCUUCCUCCUCCAGGAAGAACUUCCAUUCCCUCUGUGAAAUAAACGAAAAAAAUGUUUUUCCUGGAGUCAACGUGAUGCCCAAACAGGACACGCACAUGCAUGGACCCACCCUUGAAUUGAACAGAACUUGUGCAUCAUGCAGACAAUCUAGUGAGGACAGUGCUGAAUUACAGCAAGACGGCUGUGACACACAGUACUAGGGAAUAUAAUUCACGGAGCUCAGUCUGACCUGCAGGUCAGUUGACAGGUUCAGAAGUACAAGUAACAGCUUUAUGAUUUCCAUAGAUGUAAUGAACAACAGAAAAAUGAAGAGGUCCCUAAGAGAAGGAUGACUCGUCUCAAAAGUUAAACAGCACAAUUGCAUUAAAAUCUGUGGUUGCAAUCCAGGCAGGGCUGCAGUCCUGGGAAGGAGCAGAAUCCAUUAGUGACUUCUCUGCGGGGCAGCAGGACAGAGGCUAAUGAUUUCCUCUCUUAAGCUGUCUUUAAUUCAAUAAUCAAUGUUAUUCUUUAUAAAAUGUCUUUAAUAACAAUACUUCAAUAACAUAGCAAUACUUAAGUAUUAUUGUAGGCACAUUGCGUUACAAUACAAAGAUAGAAGUGCAAACUCAGAUCUUACAAGUACCUAUAAGGAUGAAUGCAGUAAAUUGCUCUUUUUCUGUGUCUUGAGUAAUAUUGGAUAUGCUGGCUAGAGUCGUUUGAUAGUGAAAUGGGCAACAUGUAAAUGUAAGAAAUAAUAAAUAAUAGGGGCAGCCUAGAGGUGAAGCCGCUCGCCUCCCACUCUGAAGGUUGAGAGUUCAAUCCUAGAUGAGGACAGAUGUUUAUCAAGGCACAAAGAGAAAAUGUCUGCUGCAAACUCCACCUCGGUGUCAGGAAGGGCAUUCGGCCAGUAAACGCUCAGCUCCAUUCAGAGCCCUGACCACAGCAAGGGAUUACAGGGUUGAAAACAUAAAAAAUAAGUAGCUGGUUGAUGGCUAAGAAUUAUCUGAGUCCUCUAUUCCUGUGGAUGGGGAAGGAAGUAGAGUUAAGGAAAGAGUAACUUUUCUAAACAACUCAGUAAGUGUGGCUUGCAUGGUUUUUCUUCAUAUAUUUCAAAACAUUUUAAGAUGUCAUCUAUAUUUCAACUUACUUUUCCAAAUACUGCAUAUGUGGAUCCAUGCUUUCUAACCGUUACGAUGAUGUCAAUAGCAAUAGCAAUUAGACUUACAUAUCGCUUCACAGUGCUUUACAGCCCUCUCUAAUGCUAUCCAUUCAGUCAUGCCCAGUUCUAUGAGUCCGCUCUCUCCACAUUUCCUGGUCUUGCGUGGCUUCAGGUGUUUUAUGCUCUCACGGGUUGGUUUUUUUGGUGUCUACCCACCAUGGCUUCAGCAUUGCCCUCUAAAUCAAAUGAUUCCAUAAAUGUCAAAAUAUCCUGAUUUAUUUCACGCAAAUCUUUGUCAUGGUCAAAUCCUUCAAAAUUAUUUACAAGAGCAGCACAUUUUUAAAACAGUUUUUCAGAAUUCCUUGCCUGAAUUUUGCAGCAACAUUAUUGAUAAAAUGAGGCUCUUGUAGCCUUUCCAAAAGCCACACGUUAGUGCUUCAUUCUCCACUACAUUUGCAGCUUCAGCAAAUGUUUCAAUAGCUUCCAGAUCAUAAGCUGAAAAAGAGGGGCAAAGUUGAAAAUCAGGAGUUUACAGGAUAGAGAACAGAUACUGCUUCACCAGCAUUUUAUCCUCAGGUUGGCUCUCUGCCUUACGCAUGAUCCAGACUUUCUCUUAUACAGAGAAAAGGGAAGGAAGGAAGGAAUCCUUAUUCAAGCAUUAGGAACCUGAUUAAUUUUUUCUGGAUUCAGCUAUUUGAAAAAAGUUAAAAUGCAAUAAAAAAUAAAUUCCUAGAUUGACAACAGCCACUAAGACUAUAUAGUAAGCUAAAAUUACUAUCCUGUCUAAAUAUAUCAACCAGUCCAGGAUUUAGUAAGGUAUGUCUACAUAAUACGACUGUAUGCAUUGUAAUUUCCUGUAUUUGGUUACCUUGUUCAUAAUGGAAAACACACAAAAACCAGGUAAGAAUGCCCUGAAGGCUCCUAACAUUAUUUUGCACAUCACUUUUCAUCUUUUAAAGAGAAGUCAAACUUCUUCUCUAUUGGAAAAGAAAUAAAAAGGCUUCCCUUACAGCAACAUGCAUAUGCAGGCACCCCAUUCAUUCUGCCGAUUCCAGCACACAAGUGAAAACAUACCUGGGGAACCCAAAAGUGCUUUUUUUCAAGAGGCAACUGGACUUUCUGGCUUUUUUUCUUUUGAAGACGUUUCGCUUUCACUUCUCCUCCAAGAAGCUUCUUCAGCUCU